CCUACGGGAGGCAGCAGUGAGGAAUAUUGGUCAAUGGACGAGAGUCUGAACCAGCCAAGUAGCGUGAAGGAUGACGGCCCUAUGGGUUGUAAACUUCAGUUAUAAAGGAAUAAAACGAGGCACGUGGGCCUUUUUGCAUGUACUUUAUGAAUAAGGAUAGGCUAACUCCGUGCCAGCAGCCGCGGUAAUACGGAGGAUCCGAGCUUUAUCCGGAUUUAUUGGGUUUAACGGGAGCGUAGAUGGGUUGUUAAGUCAGUUGUGAAAGUUUGCGGCUCAACCGUAAAAUUGCAAUUGAUACUGGCAGUCUUGAUUACAGUUGAGGUAGGCGGCAUUCGUGGUGUAGCGG
rnacentral:rRNA from 1 species